rnacentral:rRNA from 1 species
AAGCGUGCGCAGGCGGUUUUGUAAGACUGUCGUGAAAUCCCCGGGCUCAACCUGGGAAUGGCGAUGGUGACUGCAAGGCUAGAGUUUGGCAGAGGGGGGUAGAAUUCCACGUGUAGCAGUGAAAUGCGUAGAUAUGUGGAGGAACACCGAUGGCGAAGGCCAGCCCCCUGGGUCAAAACUGACGCUCAUGCACGAAAGCGUGGGGAGCAAACAGGAUUAGAUACCCUAGU